GUAUCGCGAGCAGCAACGUCUAUCUGAGGAGCUUCAGAAGUUGUCUGCGGAACAAGCUGCAAUUCGUAAGGAUGUGAGCAAGAUGAAGCGCUUGUUGAAUAUGAUUUUUGACAAAUUAGGAUGUUGUCGGGCGGAUUUACCUCCAGGAGAUGAUUCUGAUUAGGAUUUACCGAGCUUCUCCUUUUGUCGUUUUGGCGCUUUCUGACAAAAAGGGGGAGAUGAUGGGAUGGUCUUAAUGAUGAUGAUGAUGCAUUUAGCU
rnacentral:lncRNA from 1 species